rnacentral:rRNA from 1 species
GACGAACGCUGGCGGCGUGCUUAACACAUGCAAGUCGAACGGAAAGGCCCUGCUUUUGUGGGGUGCUCGAGUGGCGAACGGGUGAGUAACACGUGAGUAACCUGCCCUUGACUUUGGGAUAACUUCAGGAAACUGGGGCUAAUACCGGAUAGGAGCUCCUGCUGCAUGGUGGGGGUUGGAAAGUUCCGGCGGUUGGGGAUGGACUCGCGGCUUAUCAGCUUGUUGGUGGGGUAGUGGCUUACCAGGGCUUUGACGGGUAGCCGGCCUGAGAGGGUGACCGGCCACAUUGGGACUGAGAUACGGCCCAGACUCCUACGGGAGGCAGCAGUGGGGAAUAUUGCACAAUGGGCGGAAACCUGAUGCAGCAACGCCGCGUGCGGGAUGACGGCCUUCGGGUUGUAAACCGCUUUCGCCUGUGACGAAGCGUGAGUGACGGUAAUGGGUAAAGAAGCACCGGCUAACUACGUG